rnacentral:rRNA from 1 species
UACGUAGGUGGCGAGCGUUGUCCGGAUUUACUGGGCGUAAAGAGCGCGCAGGCGGUCGUGCAAGUCGCGUGUGAAAGCCCCCGGCUCAACUGGGGAGGGUCACGCGAUACUGCUCGACUCGAAGGCAGGAGAGGGAAGUGGAAUUCCCGGUGUAGUGGUGAAAUGCGCAGAUAUCAGGAGGAACACCGAUGGCGAAGGCAGGUCUCUGGGCCACUACUGACGCUGAGAAGCGAAAGCAUGGGGAGCGAACAGG